AAAGAAUUAGUUAAAUUAACAUUAGCAUGUCAAACUAAAAUUAUUAGUCUAAAUCUAAUAUUCUUUA
rnacentral:tRNA from 1 species